rnacentral:rRNA from 1 species
GAUCCUGGCUCAGAACGAACGCUGGCGGCAGGCCUAACACAUGCAAGUCGAGCGAGAUCUUCGGAUCUAGCGGCGGACGGGUGAGUAACGCGUGGGAAUAUGCCCUUCUCUACGGAAUAGCCUCGGGAAACUGGGAGUAAUACCGUAUACGCCCUUAGGGGGAAAGAUUUAUCGGAGAAGGAUUAGCCCGCGUUGGAUUAGGUAGUUGGUGGGGUAAUGGCCUACCAAGCCUACGAUCCAUAGCUGGUUUGAGAGGAUGAUCAGCCACACUGGGACUGAGACACGGCCCAGACUCCUACGGGAGGCAGCAGUGGGGAAUCUUAGACAAUGGGGGCAACCCUGAUCUAGCCAUGCCGCGUGAGUGAUGAAGGCCUUAGGGUUGUAAAGCUCUUUCAGCUGGGAAGAUAAUGA